GAGGGUAUAGCUCAGUGGUAGAGCACGGGCUAGCAUGCAAGAGGUCCUGGGUUCAAUCCCCAGUAUCUCCA
rnacentral:tRNA from 1 species